UCACCCUGUAACAGCGUGGUUUACACCCAAAGAAGCAUCUGCAUCCCCAAAGGAUCAUCAGUGAACAUUUCAUGCACAUACAGUCAUAAAACAUCGGUUUUGACAACAUUCUGGUUCAGUCCUGAACGUAGUCGUCAGCCUGAGGACCUCAGAGAAGACUCUCAGUAUGAAGGUCGUGUUGAGGUCUUUGACAAGAAAAGACGCUCCACUCUGAGGAUCAGAGACCUGAGAGUCACUGAUUCAGCCCAAUAUCAAUUUAAAUUUAUAGCACAAUGGUUUGAAUGGAAGAGCAAUUUACCUGGAACAACUCUGACUGUCACAGCUCUGCAGGUGCAGGUGACCAGAAUAAUAUCAGUCCAUCAGUCUCAAACGGAGGCAGAGCUGAAGUGUCACAGCAGCUGCAGUCCAGCUGAUCAUCUUUCCUACAUCUGGUUCAAGAAUGGACAGAAAAUUUCUAAACAACAAACUUCUACUUACACAGGUUCCUUUAAUCCUGGAGAAAAGAUCUCCUGUGCUUUCAGAGGACAUGAAGAUCACCGGUCUCCAACAGUGUACCCUUCAAAGCUUCCCUCUGUGUCAGUGAGUCCAUCUGGUGAGCUAGUGGAGGGAAGUUCAGUGACUCUGACCUGUCGCACUGAUGCUAACCCAGCAGCUGAAAACACUUUGUACAAGGGGAACCAAAGUCUGCCUCUGGGAUCAGGAGGAACUUAUCAUUUCACCUCCAUCAGCUCUGAGGACAGAGGACUCUACGACUGCAAAUCUGAUGAUCAAUCUGUGUCUUUGUUCAUAAAUG